GACGAACGCUGGCGGCGUGCUUAACACAUGCAAGUCGAACGGAAAGGCCCUGCUUUUGUGGGGUGCUCGAGUGGCGAACGGGUGAGUAACACGUGAGUAACCUGCCCUUGACUUUGGGAUAACUUCAGGAAACUGGGGCUAAUACCGGAUAGGAGCUCCUGCUGCAUGGUGGGGGUUGGAAAGUUUCGGCGGUUGGGGAUGGACUCGCGGCUUAUCAGCUUGUUGGUGGGGUAGUGGCUUACCAAGGCUUUGACGGGUAGCCGGCCUGAGAGGGUGACCGGCCACAUUGGACCUGAGAUACGGCCCGGACUCCAACGGGAGGCAGAGGUGGGAAAUAUUGCACAAUGGUCGGAAGCCUGAUGCGGAAACGCCGCGUGCGGGAUGACGGCCUUCGGGUUGUAACCCGCUUUCGCCUGUGACGAGGCGUGAGUGACGGUAGUGGGUAAAGAAGCACCGGCUAACUACGUG
rnacentral:rRNA from 1 species